GCUCCCGUAGCUCAGAGGAUAGAGUACAGGUUUCCUAAACCUGCUGUCGGAGGUUCGAAUCCUCCCGGGAGCA
rnacentral:tRNA from 1 species